GAUAUCCAUUGAUAUAUGUUAAUCUCUUUUGGCUGUACUAUAAAAAUACAUUAAGUAAUUCAAUGGAAACAUAUCUUUCUGAUAAUGUUUUAGUGAAUUAAUUAGCUCUGCUAAUGAAUUAUCUUAGAAACAUCAUAUUUAGUGUAUUAUGUUGUUUUAUGUUUUAUCUUAAAUUGGGCAUUAAGAUAGUGUAGUAUUUUAAUCAGAACUCUGCCAAUGUUUUUAUCUAGAGGCAUGUUGCCAUUUUUGCCUUCUAUAAAAUUUUUGUUUCAAGAAAAGCAGGAUAACAUCUUUUUUCUAACAUAUUGACUUGGUGUAGUGUAUUCUUGGUUAUCAAAAUUCUCAUAUAGCUUUGGAAGUUUUUUUUUUUUUCAAGACAGGGUCUCACUCUGUCACUCAGGCUGAAGUGCAGUGAUGCAAUCUUGGCUCAGUGCAGUGAAACCUCCACCCCCCAGGUUCAAGCAAUUCUCCUUCCUCAGCCUCCUGAGUAGCUGGGAUUACAGGCAUGCACCACCAUGCCCAGCUAAUUUUUGUAGUUUUAGUAGAGACGGAAUUUCCCCAUGCUGACCAGGCUGGUCUCGACCUCCUGACCUCAAGUGAUCCACCUACCUUGGCCUCCCAAAUUGCUGGGAUUACAGGCGUGAGCCACUGCACUUGGUCUGGAAUUUUGAACUGGUAAAUAUUCAUGAUAUGUGAAAAAGCAUGGCACACACUAUACAACCUCAAUCCCAUAAAAUUGAAUGUUUUAUCUAUAUAUACACAGGAC
rnacentral:lncRNA from 10 species